UCCUGUACUCCCGGCGUGGGUACCCCAGCCAGAGUCAGGGUGGCGGGCGUCGUGAGAGCGCGUUUCUGUUAACCUGGCCGUCGCGCGAGCUGUCGGACGGGUCGCAGAGUACCGCUUCGAGCCGCGUGGCCGGGGAAGGUGAGAGAGAAGCAAUGGCCCCGGAGGUGCAGCCUUACUGAGGAAUCCCAGCCAUGUGGUUCUAUCUGUUGGAUGGACGAGCCGGCACGUGCCACGAAUGCAUGGGCCAUCGAAAGCGAAGCGGAGGACGUCCCUGGGAAGCCUAGAGAUUUCUCCGGCGGUUGUGCUUUUGGUGGCCUCGCAGAAUGGAGACCAGACUCUCCUAAGCUGUCCUUAGGCGAAAAUAAAAUUAAACGAAAAGAAAUGA